rnacentral:lncRNA from 1 species
UGUGUGUACAGAAACAUUUAAUCCCUUCCUUGCUUUUCUCUACUCUGGAUCCCCCAUGAUACCCUCACUUUUCCCAUAGGGUGCGCCUGGCUGGGAUGAAGAUCUCUCGGCCCCCCACAUCUGUAGGACACUAUAAGAUGGUGAAGCACCGAGGAGAUAAGGGCAAUGAGGAAAAUCCCCACAGAUUUGACCUCCUGGUCCGUACCCAGAAUUCCUGGACGCAAGAUGGGAUGAACUCACUGACAUACCAGUUGCUGGCUCGAGAGCUGGGGCCUCUUUAUACCAACAUCACAGCAGACAUUGGGACU